rnacentral:rRNA from 1 species
UACGUAGGGGGGCUAGCGUUGUCCGGAUUUAUUGGGCGUAAAGAGCGUGUAGGCGGCCAUACAGGUCCGUUGUGAAAACUCGAGGCUCAACCUCGAGACGUCGAUGGAAACCGUAUGGCUAGAGUCCGGAAGAGGAGAGUGGAAUUCCUGGUGUAGCGGUGAAAUGCGCAGAUAUCAGGAAGAACACCCGUGGCGAAGGCGGCUCUCUGGGACGGUACUGACGCUGAGACGCGAAAGCGUGGGGAGCGAACAGG